AAUAUUAGAGUACAUACUCCAAUUAUUAUUUCCAAUAAAUUAAAAUCCAAAAGAAUGUCAUCAUAGUUCACUCAAAGUAUUUCCAACAACAUUAAUAGAUUUAUUGAAACUUAGCUCUCUUAAUUAUUACAAAAGAGUACAAUUUAAUUUCUAAACUUUUGAGAUCUAAGAAUUGAUGGAUAUAUUUUGAGUUAUUUAACCCUAUUAGAUAAUCCAUCAAGUCAUUAUACAUAUAAAAUCAUAAUUAAUCCUAUCUAAAUAACAUUAAUUUUUUAAAUACAAUUCCAG
rnacentral:lncRNA from 1 species